rnacentral:lncRNA from 1 species
UUUGUUUUGUUUUGUUUUUGUUUUGUUUUGUUUUUCCCUCUCUAUUAUCACAUUUGCCCCUUGAAGACAAUAUGUUUUAUUACUUAUUUAUUUUCUAACUUGAUUUUUUUUCUAACUUUUUGAAACAGAGACGACACAUUCUUGGGGAAGUGGGGUGGAGAGCAGGCCCUGGUAAGUGAUCAUGACAACAUGUGGAGUUGAGAGGCCUGCCUAGGACAGCGAUGCACUGCCACAUGCCACAGUUACUGUCUGAGGCUCAGCAGGCCAUUCCCAAGCCACACAAAGCCACUACAGGUCCAAGCCAUAAAAGUCUUCUAGCUCAUCCUGAAACAAGUUCCGCUCAUGCUCUCAGUCAGUUAGCUCCCCACCCAGUAUCUACUUGAUGUUGGCACUUUCUGUCUCUGUGGCUCCUCUCCAAGGCCAUCAGGGUCCAUCAGGGUACGCAUGCUUGUAUAAACAGUUACUUCCAAACAGGCAGUUCCCAUGGCCUUCAUCAAAAUACCUGCAUGUCUUGUUGCUCAUUGCCUCCUUAUAUUUCUGAAUGAGUUUCUGCUUCUCUUCUUUCUCCUCCACCCAGUACUCACUUGGAAUGACAAAGUGAGAUGUGAUGCGGCAUUCAGGGCAGGCCUUUAUGAUCUCACUGUCAAACUGCUUAGCACUCCUCCACUCACGAGUGCACUUGAGACAGCAGGUGUGGUUGCAGUUGGAGAGAAUGCCGAAGCGGCGCUCACUGGGAUUGGCUUUCUCAUACACCACCUCCAUGCAGAUGUCACACGCCAUGUCCUUGCUGCGCUGCACAGCAAAUGACAGCUCUAUGUCCUUCUCAUGGGCCUCAAUGCAAGAUUUUAUGUGCUGGGACCUCUGGACUGUAUCCAUCGGGUGCAGGACCUGUAGCCCACACAAGUUGCAGGUGUCGCCAUGCAGGUUGUUCUGGAGCAAACUGCUUUUUUCUCUUUAACUGCUUGCCAACUUCACUGUCAGAAUCGCUGUCUGAAGAGCUUGAAGGAAGAAGUCCCUUUUCAUUAGCCAUUGACCCUCACCAGUGGUCCACAGCCUCCUACUUGACAAUAUGAUGUAAAAUAGAAUAUUCCUUAAAGUCCUUUCAACUCCCAAAGCUUUACACCUUUCAAAUUUUCACAGGUAUUCUUCAUUAUUGUUUUCAAAUACAAUGAGAAUGACAUUGGAUAUUUGGAUAAACACACAUAGGAAGAAGUCUUCUCAGUAUCAAUGCUAUGACACUGUGUCUCUGAGUCAAGAAUGAAUGUUUUGAUUUGUGCAAUCCUGCAGUGAGAAAUUUUAUAGUUCCAGCAACAAAUAUGGAGAAGGUUUCAUUAUAGGAACCUAGGCAAUUAUUGAUUCCUGGAAAAUAAGUGCAAUUCUAAUACAACAUGGGUUUUGGAUGAAUAUUGUUUAAAUAGCCCUAC